rnacentral:rRNA from 1 species
UACGUAGGGGGCAAGCGUUGUCCGGAUUUAUUGGGCGUAAAGAGCGUGUAGGCGGCUGGGUAGGUCCGUUGUGAAAACUCGAGGCUCAACCUCGAGACGCCGAUGGAAACCCUCCAGCUAGAGUCCGGAAGAGGAGAGUGGAAUUCCUGGUGUAGCGGUGAAAUGCGCAGAUAUCAGGAGGAACACCGGUGGCGAAGGCGGUUCUCUGGGCAUUACCUGACGCUGAGGAGUGAAAGCAUGGGGAGCGAACAGG